rnacentral:rRNA from 1 species
UACGAAGGGGGCUAGCGUUGCUCGGAAUUACUGGGCGUAAAGCGCACGUAGGCGGAUUGUUAAGUCGGGGGUGAAGUCCUGGAGCUCAACUCCAGAACUGCCUUCGAUACUGGCGAUCUCGAGUUCGGGAGAGGUGAGUGGAACUGCGAGUGUAGAGGUGAAAUUCGUAGAUAUUCGCAAGAACACCAGUGGCGAAGGCGGCUCACUGGCCCGAUACUGACGCUGAGGUGCGAAAGCGUGGGGAGCAAACAGG